CGGGAAUCUUCCGCAAUGGGCGAAAGCUUGACGGAGCGACGCCGCGUGAGCGAUGAAGGCCUUCGGGUUGUAAAGCUCUGUGGGGAGGAAAGAAUAAGUUCAGGCCAAUACCCUGAAUGAUGACGGUACCUCCUUAGCAAGCACCGGCUAACUCUGUGCCAGCAGCCGCGGUAAGACAGAGGGUGCAAACGUUGUUCGGAUUUACUGGGCGUAAAGCGCGUGUAGGCGGCUUGGCAAGUUGGAUGUGAAAGCCCACGGCUCAACCGUGGAAGCGCAUCCAAAACUGCUUCGCUCGAGUCUCGGAGAGGAAGGUGGAAUGCUUGGUGUAGAGGUGAAAUUCGUAGAUAUCAAGCAGAACACCUGCGGCGAAGGCGGCCUUCUGGACGAUGACUGACGCUGAGACGCGAAAGCGUGGGGAGCAAA
rnacentral:rRNA from 1 species